CACUAGUGCCAUCUGGGAAGCUCCACCUGCCCCUAAGAUGAAGAGAUUUGCAGCUGGCAAGCCCAGCAGCCCGGCAUGGAUCAAAUCUGUUAUAGCUCUCAGCACAUUUCAUCCUCACGAAAGACCUAUGACCCAGCAGACACUCAGCACCAGGAUUUUGAGGUCUGAGCUGGUGAUGCAGAGACGUGUAUUCACCUGGAACAUCUGGAGCACUAUCUACGCCUUACCUGGCUCCCAAGGGUGGCCCUGAAGUGUGGGUCCUGCCGCCUGACCCUUCAAGACAAAGACGUCACUGCCUAAAAGUUAAGCUGUGGCUUCAGAAAGCGCCUUUGUUCUCUGCUCCUGUUCUGCCAAAGUGAGAAAAUGAUCAGAAUCACGUGGUGAGUCUUGGUUCCCCAUUUUGUUUGUCCAAGUUGAUGUUUCCCAUUUGCCACAAUAGCACAAAAAAAAAAAAAAAGAAAGAAAGAAAGAAAAAUCGAAACUGCUUCACUUCCUCUUCCCUCGAGACCCAACAUGACAAUCCCAAUUGCCCUCCAGAGGCCUACUGCACAUCACACAAGCAGCAGAGUCUUCAGAAGGCAAGAAGGUGUCUCUUCAAGGCUUGGAAACAGGAUGAGAGCUGGGACCGCAGGAAGCAGGCAUCAGACCCAGCCUCCGAGGGCCUCCGAGAGCCCGCCUCUUACAACACCUCCCCUGUCCCCACCUCGCAUGGGAGCAGAUCGUUCAACUUCUUAAUUAGUUAUUGUGGGAGGAAUCAUUCACAUGGCUGAAUUAUUUUUCCUUCUCAUUUAGUCCUUUUUGUCUUGCUCUUUAAAACAAAGUCCAAACAGACUUUGGGCCCCAUGAUCAUCUAGGAAGGGAUGGUUCGAUGGUUUGGAAGCUGGUUUUCUGAAAGCCCUGGUCCCAGGAAAGUUCAACGUUGCCAUAGUUUGCUAGGCCAACUGCGGAUGCACACACACACACACACACACACACACACACACACCCGGCUCCAGUUCUGCUCCGCUCCCCUACCCCCAACCCCAGGAAGCAGAUUUCUCAACCAGCAGGGCCUAGUAUGAGUCACGGGCAAUUCCGUUUUCUUUGGGGGCAUAAGACCUCCCUCUCGCUCUUGGGGCCACAAGCAGUUGCUGAGAAGGAGGUGUGGUCCUUAUCUCGAGGGAAAUUCCCACAUCUGUACCGCGGCAGGGGAAAGGCACAGUCUCUCUGCUCAACUGUCUGAGAGUCACGGAGGCCCUUGUUCCUGGUAAAGGCCUGUGUUCCUGGUCAAGGGCUGCGGUCUGGGGGACGUGCAGAUGGUGGGGGAACAGUGCGGGGAAGGAAGGCUUAUGUGAACCGUAGGCUCCUCAGGGGGUCUGCCCACGGUCACAUGAUGAUGGGGGAACGGUGUGUAUGACUCGUGGGGUGCAUGGGGGGUUAGUCUCUAUGUUGUGCCCAACUACUGUGAUCCCAUGAACUGUAGC